AGGGAAAAAAGAAAAGAGAGGAGGGGAAAACCUUGCAUUUGCCACAAAUCCUCUUCGCUUGGCGCUUGUAAAACGAUCACAAAUCACACGCACUCGAUUUUAAUUCCUCCUGCGACCUCCCCUUUCUUUCCUCCCCCACCUUCAAACGAUUGCAUCAAGAGGGCGGGGAGGGGGGGACAGGGAAGCGAUCCGAAAUAAAUUAAAAAAUAAAAACUCGGAAGGAGCAGGAAAUAGCUGCAACGAAGGCACUAGAUUAUUUCUGAGAGCGGACAUAUUUUUGGCAACAAGCGGCUCCCCCCCCCCCAAAAGGUGCCAGUUUCCCUGCCUUGAAAACAACGGGGAAGGGAGGGGAGGAGGAGUUUGUGACUCCCAGUUGGGUAUUAUUGACACUAAUUUCGGUGUUGUUUUCUAGCCGUUGCGUGGAAAUGACACUCGUCUAUAGAUUUUUACAGUCAAAUGCCAGGCUUCAUAUUUUUUUUGUUCUCCCUCCCUCCCUCUCUUUCUCAAUAAUCUAAUUUUUUCCAGCUCCACCUUUGUUGUUAAGGGCGUCAUCUCCGGCUGCAGCCAAUCACCUGCUUUCAGAGUUGCCUGUCAAAUUAACGCCGAUUCCAAUACGCAAAAGCGACUUUUACAGACAGACCCGAAUGCAAUUAGGAGUUAUGGGUUGGAGAGGCGGGGAAGGGGCAGAGGGAGCUAAUCAGCGCGCCCGCCCUCGCCUCCCCCCACCCCCCGCGCAACCCGCGUUGAAAACGGGCCACCGCGGAUGAGCGGCGCUCGUCUGUUCUCCGUGAUGUUUUUCCAGUUGGAACCGGGAAUAAUUUCUCCGCUUCCCGGGAUCUCUGGGAUAGGGAGGCGUGUGCGUCACGUCUCCCUGUCUCUCAUACAGAACAUAGAAGUAUGUUCUAAUGAUGGGAACACAUUAACAGCAUCUGGUUUUCAAGAUGUCACCAAGCAUGGGGGUUGCACCACUUCUUAUCAUGGCUAGUAGACCUAGUAGCCGCCUCGAUGGCUUUACCCAGUUCUUCUCAAAAUAAACCUAUUCUAGAGACUAUCAGAACACAGCAAUGAGAUCCACGGGUGAAUUAAGGAUUUGUGAGAACAGAUCGUAUUCUACAUUUCAACAUUGUACACCUCCCUGAUAUUUCAUGAGAUGGCAGUAUAAAAAUACUUAUUUUGUAAGUAAAUAGUGUCUACUUUGAUCUCUAGACACCCCCAAAAUUGGAAUCUGUAUCAGAAGAACUCACCUACAAGAAUGGCCACCAGCAAGCCAGUGAUCCUUUGCUCCUUGACUUCCUGGACAUGGGCCUUCUCCCCUGGGACUGUAGUCUUGGACAUCACCGUCAGGGCAUUAGCAUGUGUGACAGUCCUCACUGUGGUGGCACUGAGCCAAGGUGCGCCGAAAAGGGGUGCGAUACCCCCCAAGCCAACAAUUAGAAGCAGGUCUAGAUGGAAACCUGAACCCUUCACCAGCUUCCUUUCAGGUUUGCUCACAAUCAGCCUGAAGAAGAAUAAGAAGAAGGGGGCAGGGAGGAAAUGAAGAAGAAAGUGGGUUGCGGGCAGCUAAAUCCUACACAGAGAGUAGAACCACGGAAAUUAAUAGUUUACCCAUGCCCAUUAUUUCUAAUAGGUCAACUCUGGGUAUAACUAGCAUUGGAUACAACCUAAUAUUUAUUUGACAUGAUUCUAUGACAGAUUGGACAUCCCAACAACCGUGAUAUAACUAAGCAUUGCUACCAGGUGACAACUCAAAGUGGCAUCUGCGUACAGGGACAUUGAUAGGGGCUGGCUCAAUUGUCCUAAGCUUUGGGUCUUUUAUGCCAGUGAGACUUGUAUUUGCCCAGAGGCACAUACAACAGCUGGGUGGAGAGGGGAAGGUAGUGCAUGCGUGUGUGAGAGAGUGAUCCUGUUUUCUUUUUAACAUGCCCAUAAGAAGCAUUUAUUGCCAAAGCAAUUCAGGUGGGAUGGAGGUGUCCAAUUCACAUAUAAGUAUACUGGGUGUAGAAAAUCACAUUGGCAUGCCAUAGCUCAGAGUAAGCCCUCACAGCAGGAGACAAAGCUUGUUUUUCUUCUCUGAGUUACGUUUGCAGCUAUGCUUAUAAAUUAGCAUAUGCAAAUGUUAUUCAAAUCUGUAUUGGUGUCUGCUCUUUCAACAAACCUGAUAAAAUAUUUAUCAAUAAACCUUUUUUGUUGUUUA